UCCCGUACUUGCCUAGAAAUUCAUGGGUUCU
rnacentral:piRNA from 1 species